rnacentral:rRNA from 1 species
GGUUUGAUUAUGGCUCAGAUUGAACGCUGGCGGCAUGCCUUACACAUGCAAGUCGGACGGCAGCGCGGGGGCAACCCYGGCGGCGAGUGGCGAACGGGUGAGUAAUACAUCGGAACGUGUCCUGUAGUGGGGGAUAGCCCGGCGAAAGCCGGAUUAAUACCGCAUACGACCUAAGGGAGAAAGCGGGGGAUCUUCGGACCUCGCGCUAUAGGGGCGGCCGAUGGCAGAUUAGCUAGUUGGUGGGGUAAAGGCCUACCAAGGCGACGAUCUGUAGCUGGUCUGAGAGGACGACCAGCCACACUGGGACUGAGACACGGCCCAGACUCCUACGGGAGGCAGCAGUGGGGAAUUUUGGACAAUGGGGGCAACCCUGAUCCAGCAAUGCCGCGUGUGUGAAGAAGGCCUUCGGGUUGUAAAGCACUUUUGUCCGGAAAGAAAACUUCGCUCCUAAUAUGGGUGGAGGAUGACGGUACCGGAAGAAUAAGCACCGGCUAACUACGUGCCAGCAGCCGCGGUAAUACGUAGGGUGCGAGCGUUAAUCGGAAUUACUGGGCGUAAAGCGUGCGCAGGCGGUCUGUUAAGACCGAUGUGAAAUCCCCGGGCUUAACCUGGGAACUGCAUUGGUGACUGGCAGGCUUGAGUGUGGCAGAGGGGGGUAGAAUUCCACGUGUAGCAGUGAAAUGCGUAGAGAUGUGGAGGAAUACCGAUGGCGAAGGCAG